rnacentral:rRNA from 1 species
GACGAACGCUGGCGGCGUGCCUAAUACAUGCAAGUAGAACGCUGAAGAGAGGAGCUUGCUCUUCUUGGAUGAGUUGCGAACGGGUGAGUAACGCGUAGGUAACCUGCCUUGUAGCGGGGGAUAACUAUUGGAAACGAUAGCUAAUACCGCAUAACAAUGGAUGACACAUGUCAUUUAUUUGAAAGGGGCAAUUGUUCCACUACAAGAUGGACCUGCGUUGUAUUAGCUAGUAGGUGAGGUAAUGGCUCACCUAGGCGACGAUACAUAGCCGACCUGGGAGGGUGAUCGGCCACACUGGGACUGGGACACGGCCCAGGCUCCUACGGGAGGCAGCAGUAGGGAAUCUUCGGCAAUGGGGGCAACCCUGACCGAGCAACGCCGCGUGAGUGAAGAAGGUUUUCGGACCGUAAAGCUCUGUUGUAAGUCAAGAACGGGUGUGAGAGUGGAAAGUUCACACUGUGACGGUAGCUUACCAGAAAGGGACGGCUAACUACGUG